UUCGAUUCCACUACCAUAGGGACGCUGGGCCUGGAAAAACGGAACGGGGUGUGAUUCCCCGACGGUCCCGCCACUGUAAUCGAUGACGAAAGCACAUGAACCAUUGUCCUCGGACGAGAAGGUGCGCAAGUAGGAUGAAUCGUAAGUCAGGAGACGUUUCCAGGUUGUCAUUCUUCG
rnacentral:ncRNA from 2 species